GGGUGCAAAUAGAAAAUCUGUUGC
rnacentral:siRNA from 1 species